rnacentral:rRNA from 1 species
GUCCUGACAGUAAACGGUGCACGUUUGGUGUAGGCGGAUUCGACCCCGUCUGUGCCGGAGCUAACGCGUUAAACGUGCCGCCUGGGAAGUACGGUCGCAAGAUUAAAACUCAAAGAAAUUGACGGGGGCCCGCACAAGCGGUGGAGUAUGUGGCUUAAUUCGAUGCAACGCGAAGAACCUUACCAGGGUUUGACAUGUAUUGUGUCGGCGAUGAAAGUCGCCUAGCUGUAGCAAUACAGCGCUUUACACAGGUGCUGCAUGGCUGUCGU